rnacentral:rRNA from 1 species
UACGAGUGCCUCGAGCGUUAUCCGGAAUCAUUGGGCGUAAAGGGUGUGUAGGUGGUCAUAUUAGUCUUCUGUUAAAUUCUUCGGCUUAACCGGGGGUCUGCGGAGGAAACGGUAUGACUUGAGGAUGCAAGGGGUCUGCGGAACUCAUAGUGUAGCGGUGAAAUGCGUUGAUAUUAUGGGGAACACCAAAAGCGAAGGCAGCAGACUAGGGCACUCCUGACACUGAAACACGAAAGCGUGGGUAGCGAAUGGG